CAAUGGACGCAAGUCUGAACCAGCCAUGCCGCGUGGAGGAUGAAGGUCCUCUGGAUUGUAAACUUCUUUUAUUUGGGAAGAAACCCGAGAUUUCUAUUUCGGUUGACGGUACCAGAUGAAUAAGCACCGGCUAACUCCGUGCCAGCAGCCGCGGUAAUACGGAGGGUGCAAGCGUUAUCCGGAUUCACUGGGUUUAAAGGGUGCGUAGGCGGGCAGGUAAGUCAGUGGUGAAAUCCCCGAGCUUAACUUGGGAACUGCCGUUGAUACUAUCUGUCUUGAAUGUUGUGGAGGUAAGCGGAAUAUGUCAUGUAGCGGUGAAAUGCUUAGAUAUGACAUAGAACACCUAUUGCGAAGGCAGCUUGCUACACAAUUAUUGACGCUGAGGCACGAAAGCGUGGGGAUCAAACAGGAUUAGAUACCCUGGUAGUCCACGCCCUAAACGAUGGAUACUCGACAUCAGCGAUACACUGUUGGUGUCUGAGCGAAAGCAUUAAGUAUCCCACCUGGGAAGUACGAC
rnacentral:rRNA from 1 species